GGAGCCCGCGGCCCACGAAUGUUGGGUCGGGGUGCUCAGAUGGCGGAGACACUGGCAAGUUUUGCCCUGGCAACGGCCGGCGGCGCCUAGUACAGCCACCUUCGGGUGGUGGGAACGGUGGCUUCUGGUGCGGCUGGGGGGAGAUGUGAGCACCCUGUUGGGUCCUGAAGGAACAACCAUUGGUUGUUGUUUCAGAGACGUGGCCGGCCUCCUGUGUGGGGGCUGGCAGUCUGCCAGGCAUGGCCUGGCCCCACAUACCGCCAACUGUUGUUGGGUUUGGUGUGGGGCGGAUCGGGUUGUGGGUUGGU
rnacentral:misc_RNA from 1 species